AUUGAACGCUGGCGGAAUGCUUUACACAUGCAAGUCGAGCGGCAGCGCGGGGCAACCUGGCGGCGAGCGGCGAACGGGUGAGUAACAUAUCGGAACGUACCCAGUCGUGGGGGAUAACUAUCCGAAAGGAUAGCUAAUACCGCAUACGACCUGAGGGUGAAAGCGGGGGACCGAAAGGCCUCGCGCGAUUGGAGCGGCCGAUAUCGGAUUAGCUAGUUGGUGAGGUAAAGGCUACCAAGGCGACGAUCCGUAGCUGGUCUGAGAGGACGACCAGCCACACUGGAACUGAGACACGGUCCAGACUCCUACGGGAGGCAGCAGUGGGGAAUUUUGGACAAUGGGGGCAACCCUGAUCCAGCCAUUCCGCGUGAGUGAAGAAGGCCUUCGGGUUGUAAAGCUCUUCGG
rnacentral:rRNA from 1 species